UUUUCAAUUAAACCUUACCCUGAUUCUUUUGAGCUUCGAAGUGCAUGAUUUCUCCAUUAUGGAUUUUAUAUAUGCAUUUGUUCAUAUGCUUAUUAGUAUCUCUUCGACUCAGACUCCUGAUUUUUGUCUGAAAUUUUGGUAAUUUUUUUGUUGAACAAGAGUUCUUGAGGUUAGAGUAGUUCAUCAUCAAGAUUUGAACAAGAGCAUCCUAAUAGCACUGAUUGUUGCUUCCACACUCCUUGUUGGAAUUCUUCUGUUCCCAUCAUGUUGUUGGAUCUAUAGACAGAGAACUUCGAACCACUCCGAUGGGAAAAGGCAAAAGACAAAUGGUCUUCAUUUGAUCAAAAUUUGGGAUAUGUUUAUAUCUUACCUGUUGACUAUUGAUCUGAAAAUUUUCAGAUGAUUUCAUUGAACAAUGAAUGACCUGUGAUUUUACAAAGUUCAGUAUGCGUUGAAAUAGUUUCUAGACAUUUUCAGUAAACCUCCUUGCUUUUUGUUCAUCUUUCAGGUAUCAUUUGUUCUAUUUAGCAUUUGUUCUUUUUGUAUGUGAAAGUAGACUUCCUGAUAGUCACUCCAAAACUGAUUUUACAUCAUUUGGAUUUUAAAUGAAUUCUUUGUGAAUUUUCGAAGAUGUCCUGACUGCUGCUUUGUUCUUCAGAAACCUGAUAUAUCCAGUCAGAAACAUGAUAUAUCAUUGUCCAAUUAUUAUAUAGUUAAUCUUGUUCCUUCCAUGAUUAAUUCUCAUUUCAAAGUUGUGCCUCAUCAUCUUUUGAGGCCAAGUUGUUGCCAAACUUGGUUGUACUCUUAUCUUCUCUUGCUUUAAGUUGCACCCCUGGUUUUGGGGUGUGACACGAUUUGUCUUUUGUUUUAUUUUUCUAUCUAAUUAAAGGCCACAGUUCAUUGAAGUAAGUCGGCAUGCUGAUAAGAAUGUGGAUAUGUUGUUCUCCUUUGCUUAUUUGGUAAAUAGCCAUUCUGAUUUGGGCAAUUUUCAGAUAUUGUAAAUCAAAGUCACUAUGUAAUUCCAUCUCUUUGAAGGGAGAACUCAAGGAUCUGGAUACAAAGUAAUUUUAAGGAGAGAGCUGCAGUAACUUACAAAACAGCAGUGUUCCCAAGGUAUCUCCUCAAAUUCGAACCUUAACAACAGAUGAACUAUAUUAUUGAACAUCAUGUUAACUUAUGUAUUUGGUGACAUGUGCAUGGUUCCUAUAUAGUUGUGUACUUGAUUGUGUGUUUUCAUUGCGUAUAUGUGAUAGAUGGCAAAUUCCAAAGAACAAGCUAGUUGGAAUGAGAAUUUAGUUGAAGUUUUUGUUGACUUAUGUAUCAAGGAGGUGCAUAAAAAUUCAAAGCCAGGUUCUCAUUUUAGUUCAGCUGGAUGGAAGACUAUUGUCAAAUCUUUUGUUGAACAAACCGGAAAAAAUUAUACUAGAAAACAACUUAAAAAUAAGUGGGAUUCCCUUAAAGGUGACUGGAAAUCAUGGAAAAUAUUGAAGAGUUUAAAAACCGGUCUUGGGUGGAAUCCCGUACUCAACACCAUUGAUGUGGAGGAGUUUUGGGCUGAACAUAUUGGGAAAACAAAGGAAUAUGCAAGGUUUAGAAAAAAAGGAUAUCACCCGAGUUUGAAGCCAAGUUGGAUAAGCUGUUCUUAGGUACUACAGCCACUGGAAAGCAUGCAUGGGCACCAUCUUCUACACUUCCUAUCCCAGAUAGUCUAGAGGAAGGUGAUAAUGAUAACUACCAUGAAGGUGGUGGUGACUCUGAUGAGAGAGAUGUAUCCACCAACAUUUUGUCUAAGAGGAGAAGAAGUGAGAGAGCUUUGAAAGAUAAGGAAAAAUUUGAUGCAAAGAAGGAGAAGGUUGGGGGUGCUGCUUAGUUGGCCAAAAAAAUUGGCAGAAUGUGUUUGGCAAUUGAAAGUAGAAGUACUACAUCUUCAACGGUGCAUAAUGCCCGCACUAGUAUUGCUGAAGUGAUGAAAGAUGUCACUACAUUGCCUGGAGCUGAGCAGGGUACUAGGUUGUGGUUCUUUGCUACUCGACUGUUUUUGAGUCCAGAGAAGAGAGAGAUGUAUUGCACUAUGGAUGAUCCUAACAUGAAGUUAGAAUGGUUGAACUUUGAGAUGACCGAGAAAUGAGCUUAUGCUAUUUAUGAGAAAUUAUUAGUUUCGUAUUUUCAUAUUUUACCACAAGUUGGAAUGUUACUCAAGACCAUGAAACUAUGUUUUAUCUUCUAUUUUUCAUCAU